AGUACAUCAAAUAUCUGUGUUACAAAUUGGUCAAAUUAACGUUUUAAAAAACUUAUAUUUUUCCGAGUUAUUAAAGCUAACAUGAAAUUUUAUUCUCACGCUUCUGACUCCAAAUAUUUCAUACAUUGCAAUGACAAGAAAAAUACAAGAAAGACAAACAAAAUUUCAGCGGAUAUAGAAAGAAACACUGGCGUCGUUGUAGUUCCACUCUUAACAAGUUGGAUGUUUUCUGAUACACAUUGAUUGGUAAUAAAAGAAAACAUGAGCCCAAGAGUUGAACCCAAAUUUAAAGUACAGUGGCUCAUACAGGGGGUCAUUCUGAGCUGCGCAUUCUCGUCUGAUUCUUCACGUACAUUGUGCCUGCCAUUACAUCCUGAGAAGGAACUUGUACCAAAACAGUUUUGUCUACCAAGAACCGCUGUCGUUUGUAUCACUUUAAAAGCGAUACCACCUGUUGUUAAUCUGACACAAGUUCUCCUGGAGGACCGCCUAUCACCUUACACUAUGUUGUCAACAAUUAGAGGGAGUUAUAAUAGACAUCGCUUGCUUUGUACAGCUUCAACACAAAAACAUUGUGACAAAAAGUUCAGACUUUUUCC
rnacentral:sRNA from 1 species